UACGUAGGGCGCAAGCGUUGUCCGGAAUUAUUGGGCGUAAAGAGCUCGUAGGCGGCUUGUCACGUCGGUUGUGAAAGCCCGGGGCUUAACCCCGGGUCUGCAGUCGAUACGGGCAGACUAGAGGUAGGCAGGGGAGAGCGGAACUCCUGGUGUAGCGGUGGAAUGCGCAGAUAUCAGGAAGAACACCGGUGGCGAAGGCGGCUCUCUGGGCCUUACCUGACGCUGAGGAGCGAAAGCGUGGGGAGCAAACAGG
rnacentral:rRNA from 1 species